CAAUCUUUAUUUUCUUUCUUGGUUUCCCAUUUGUUUAUGUAUCAUGAAAUUGAAACCGGUGAAGCGGUGAUUUGUUCGGUUGGGUGGUGCAGGAGCGGCGUGGCAGCCGCUUGAAUCUACGUCCUUUGUUUUGUUAUCUUUUGCCAUCUAUUACGUCAUGCGUCAUCCUUAUGAUGAGUAAAAUCAUGUAAAAAUAGCUCUAGUCCAUUUAUUGUAAUUUUGUAUUAUUAUCAAAAAUUCUUUCAGCGAAUGGGUAUUCGGUAGUGAGUGUUUUCUCAAUAUUUUCGAUAUUUGAUUGUACUUGUAUCGUAAUGAAGAAAUGGUUCGUUUCACUUUCAGGUGAAUCUUGUCAAAUCAUGGCGAAGUAUGCAAAUUAUUGUCGUCGAAUUUCACGAAUGAAUUAUGUUUUUCGUUACCUACUGACCUUCGUUUUCGAAUUGUGCUUACCUAAUACCUAAUACUAUAAUACCACACCGACGAAUGCUGAUCACUCGAUCAGUUUGGCUUACUUACUCAUUUCAAUUAUUGAUGCAGCUUUUGAUCAUGGACAUCAGCAAAUACUGAUCAGUUUUAAAGGACUUCGCUCAUUUUUGAUUAUUGAUUGAAGAUGCAGCAUUUUUCAAGUAUGGUCGUACCAGUGAUUGACGAUCAGUUCAAGGAUUUGAUGAUUGAUGCUCUGAUGCAGUUUCUUGUUAUGAUGGCUUUGUGAAGAAUGAAGAUUGAUAUUGGUACUUCGAAAUGAUGCUGCAAUUACUGUGCAAUCUCAAUCAAGCUUCAGUGUGCUGCGAUUGUUGUCGAAUAUUCAAAUUUCGUGAUGAUCCAAGAUCAGAAAUUUAUCAAUGGAGGCGAAGACAGAUCCUGACUUGAGAAUGAAAUUCGACUGCGAUUCUUCCCCACAUACGUGUAAUAUCAUCAGCUCUAGAAUAUUCUCCAGUUUCGAAGGCGACAUCUUGUGUAUGUGAUUUUUGUCUACUCGAUAUAUCUCUCGCCACCUUUCCGCCCUUCCAGUUUCAAUGUUACGCAAUCAGCUUUAGCGUGGCGAUUUUAUGCAGCAGAACCAGAACUUAACUGAGCUUUGGGAAGCACGGCUAACGGCUUUUUUGUAUGUAUGUACAUAUGUAUGUAUACAAUUUUUGUGAAAAGAACAUGUCGCCCCCCCCCCACAUUCCCUUCAUCUCAGCACUUGGCACGUUGGCCUAUCAAACUUGUGUACAAUAGACGCAAUACAGCGCGGAAUAAUACUUAUAUAGGUACUCAAGAAGUACAUACAUAGUACAUACCUAGAUUUACUAGCUUGGAGAACGAUUUUUUGACGUGCAAUUUUUAUCACACGCAAAUUUUUCGAAUGGUCGUUUGCUCUCACUGACCUACUUUUGAAUGCAGCACGAAGAACAAUGUUUUUACCUACGCGUACGAAUUUGUAAAUGCGAUUGUGCUCCCACUCCUGAUACGUAUUUUUGAUGAUCGAUGAAAUGAUUCUAUAUGGUAUUGAAAAAGCUGUAGGUUAUUCCCUGUAAUAUGAAGAUGGAAUAGUUCCAUUGUAUCAUGAGAACUUGCUCGAACGUUCGCUGCUGUGUUUAUGUAGUAUUUACCUACUUGUACGAGUACUUGUGAUACCACUUAUGGAUUUUAUGAAUUAUUCGAGUAGUGAAUUCGACGUUUCGACGUAUUGGAGUAAUUUUUUUUGAAGCUGGACGUAUAUGAUACGAGUAUUUUUACGCUUAAUUUUAGUACUUUGACGGCGCAAUACUGACUCACGACAACAUUUGCAGUACCAGAACUUUUUUUCUGAUUCCAAAACGAUGAUUUUUUCGAUUUGUCCCCCUCCUUCCCCUCAUCACUAUUUUGGCAUUCGAAGGUUUUUUUUUUCAAUUUCGAGCGGUGAAAUUUCAUCUUCUACGUACUCAUUUUAGACAGUGGUAUGUCGUUUUUCGAGAGGUAUUCACGACCAAAGACUACGAAUUGUUCGCAGAUGUCUAUCAUACGAACCGGUCGUUGCAGGUGGUGGCGAUUGUUUCCUGUGAUAUUUGCAGCGUUCGUAGAGGAUUUGUAUCCUUGAAUCGUUGGUCUGAAAAAAUAACCUCUCGAUGAUCGGUCACCUCAUUCCCCUCGUAGUUUUUGUAAAAGUCGUAUUAUUCGAAGAGUAUUCGCGAAUUGACGACUGCGAUUGGCGCGAAUUUCAUUGUGAGCCCAAUUACCAGGUCGGUGAAUGGGUUUUGCAUGACUUUUGCAACAUUCGCAGAGAGGUAUUGUCGGUUUCGGAAAAAUAACUCUUCGGUAAUGCGGCUCCCUUCGGGCUCUUUUUUCAGUUUUGGGUUGAUAAAAGUUGUAUCAUGCAAGGAGUAUUCGAGCUUUACGACUGCAAAGUGUGCUCGCUGCUCGGAUGUCAUAUGAACUUAUCCCUGCGGGUGAUCGGUUCGUAUGGCAUUUGCUGUGACAUUUUGUAGAAAAGGUUAUAAUCGUUGGUUUGGAAAUAUGAUUCCUCGGUGAUUGGCUUUCUCUUUGUGUUCUCUUGGCUUUCUCUUUGUGUUCUCUGUCUCCUCCCCCCUGGGUUCCCUUGGCUCAAAAAAUGAUGUAUUUUUUUGGGAAGUUGAAGUUGUAAGGAUUGAUGCUAAGGACAAUCCUAUGAAAGUUUGAUGAGUUAGGUGAUGCUUUUCUGUAGUCUUGGUUUUUUUCUGUGUAUAGGGUAGGGAUAUAGAAGAUUUUUUUUUUCAACUGUCUUUCUUCGUAAAGAUGAUAGGGUGAAUAUUAGUCGGGAUGUUAUUUUAGGAUAGGAAUGCAACAAUUUAUUUCGAACGAUUAUUUUUGGCUGUAGUUUUUCGAGACUUUGAUCAAAUCAGUAAUAUGACGGUGUUUUUUUAAAAAUUGGAUAGGUACAAGAAUAUUUUGGAUCAAAAUUGGAUGGGGCGAUGUAUUUGACUAUUUUCAAAAUUCAUUGUAUAAGUUGCAGGGAUUUCCAGCCAGCCAAUAGCUGAAGCAAGCCAAUCGUAUUAAAGCCAGCUUAAUGAAAAAUUGCCAGCCAAUAGCUAAUAGCCAAAAGCUAAUAAACUUGAAGUAAUUUUCAAAUUUUUCAAUUUAAAAUUUUUUUUUUUCAUAUUUUGUUUUUUUUACUCAUGACUCACGUUUUACACUCACUGAUACCACAGAAAUGAAAUUUUCCUUUUUAACAAUCAUCUACGCAUCAUAACGAGUAUUUUGAGGGGUCACAUGUACUUUUGUUUUUGUAAGCCAAAAGCCAGCUAAUCGCCAGCCAAUGAAAUUUUGCCAGCCAAUAGCCAGCUUUAUUUAAGCUAAUGAAAAUUAAACUAAAAGCUGAUAGCCAAAAGCUAAUCAAUGAUUGGCUGGAAAUCCCUGAUAAGUUGAGCGCCGAUGUUGGUAUCUGGUCAACCUGGAGACCUCACAACAUCGGAAGAGACCCGGAGGGUUUUGCGAUGCCUAUUGCGACCGCCCCUGGCAUCCGGGACUCCAUGACGGCAUGGUAGGGUCGCAUUAAACGAAGGGUAAAGAGGGAUGGUAGAUUUUACAGGUCGUCGUGGUCGCAGUCGCGCUCCUUUACAGGAGAUAGCGUAUAUGUCCAUCUAUAUGUAUUAGCCGGUAUCUGGCGUAUCUAAUCGUUUCUUUCAGGGUUUUGGAGGGAGAGUUGGCUGGUGAGUUUGUUGCCGAUCGUUUCCUCCCUCUCGUCGAUCUUCCUUGAAUUUUCCCCUGUACCACUAGCAUGAAUUUAUGAGCUAAAUACUUUAGCUUUCUGUUUUUGAUGUCUUCAACUACGACUUUCCGCUCCUCUCCAAUUCUUGCUAAUACUUCCUUGUUGGUAAUGAAGUCCUUCCAUGAGAUCAGUAGUAGCCUUUGAUAGCACCACAUCUCAAAAGCAGAUACUUUGUUCUCGCAUUCUGCACUCAUGGUCCAUGUUUUGCAGGAAUACUUCAGAACGGUCCAUACAUAGCAUCGCAUAAUUCUCUUCCUCAGAUCUAUACUCAUCGUUCGAUUUCCCAGCACAUUGGCAAGGUUGUUGAAAGUGGCUUUUGCCAUUCCAAUCCGUGAUUUAAUUUCUUUAUCACCGUUGGUUUUGGCUUGACCUCCAAUCUCACGAGUAGUAUCCUCUCUGAUUUUGGAAUUAUUGCACUGAUUUUAUCGCUGAUUCUGGUAUGUAUUAAUAUACCCACACCUUGUUCGUGUGUGUCUUUCCCAGCAAAGAUCAUUUCAUAGUUUUCAUCUACCCGGUAUCUACCAUUUCCAGUCCAUCGGGUCUUAACUUAUUCCUAACAUGUCGAUUUGCAAUCUCCUGGCUUAUUUAAUUACACUAGCAAGUUGUCCAAUUUUAUACAAAGUUCGUACAUUCCACGUUGCGACGUUGAUGUUGUUCAGCCUUGUUUUAACUCCGCGUAUUCUUAGCACCCUAUCCGGCUGCCUUGGCGGAUGAGGAUCAGCCUGACGGAGACUUAGGGCCGGUGCUAAAUUGAUGUCCAUAUAGUUCUAGGGAAAUAUAAUGGUGUUGGUUUCCCAUUGCCUUCCACCAUGAUUUUCUGUUGGGGUUUACUCCCUUAGCCGAAAUUGUCAGUUUUUAGGCGCUGGUAUUCGCCUACUCACUCUGAAGCUCUUGCGCUUCCCUGGGGCUGGAACGAGUGAGUUGUUGGUGUUCUGCAGCUCUUAUGCAUUCACGUUUGUAAUCCGUAUUUAUGUAGAGGCUUGGCCGUCGUUCAACCAACUGGAGAAUUCUGCUUUAGCCAUGUUUAUCGAUUCCGAGUCCAUUGAACAGCAACAUGUUACCACCCUGCACGACGUGGACGCGCAGAAUACCUCUGGUGUUGUCUUCCCCUUCUCAUCACUGGCUCCUCUUGAUGAUCCGAGCUACUACCUAGAGACUACCUCUAGCGACAACAACCUGUGCCCUCGCAGGGCAGAUUUUACACGUUUAACUAGAUAUCUAACAUUGUUCGAAUCGCAGGUCAAAAGGUCUUUUCAUCGUUGGUGGCGUUCUUUGGUACCUCAUGCACGACUUUUCCCUUCGAAAACACACUGGCGUGUGAUUUUUGGAGCGAACGAGUCGUAUACGAGUUAUCCGAGGCGUCGCUGGGAGAUUGGUGGUGCGUAAAAGGUGCGUGCCGAAGCUGCAGGGUCUGUCCCAGGUGAUAGCGAGGCCGUGAAAACGGAGCAGUUUGGUUAGCUUGCUAAAUUAAGUCGCAACCGCAGCUCGUCGCGACGGGCUGAAAGUUGUGCACAGUCUUUCGUGUCUGGAAGCUGGCAUCUGCUACGCCGUGUAGGAGGCGCGUGAAGUGUGCGCGAAGUUGGCGAAGGCUUCGAAAUAGGCAUAUGGGGUAAGAUUCGAGACAAGUCCGCAAGAACGGUACACUUGGUACAUAGGGGGCUUGCUCUGCGCCUCAAUAUUGGUACGGACCAGAGGUUGGUGCGUACAGACCUCCGAGUCGACAGAGCUCGGACUGCCCUUGUAGCCGUCCUAGGCGAGGUUAGGGUAGAAAUCCGUGCGCCGUCUACUUGCUUACUGCUUCCCGGCGGUACACGUGCCGACCGGGGUUUUUACAGGAUCGGCUUAUCAAAGAGGAUGUAGGCUGGCGCCUUUCAGGCAGUCUGUUGUGACUUUGUACGAGUGUAACUUUUAUUCCUACGCUGACGUCAGCGUGUUGUAAAUUUUACCCUCGCACGAAGUUAUAACCGACCUGUCUGCGGGGUCAGCUAUAUACCUUGCCUCGAGGAUCAAGUUCAGCCUAUCCCGCAGUGUUGGCGCUUUGGUCGAAUGCCCGUGAAAUUCAUGAAGCAUUCAACAGCACUGCCGGUGGUGAGUGUAGGGAAUUUGAGAUACUGCUCCGGAGAGUUGGGCCCGACAAAGGGUUCGAUUGUCUGGACUGUUGAGAGUGCGAGAAGAGCGGAUGUCGAUCUGGAUUUUUAUGCUUUGUUAGAAUCUAGUUAAACGUGUAAGGUCUUUCCGUCAUCGUAUAUUGGUGGAGAAAUAAUCAAAAAUUGAAGUAUUAAAAAUGAUUAGCAUAGAACUUUCUAUAGGAAUGUGUUUUAGUCAUCAUUGGUCGGAUGGUGGGAGAUGACUGGGGUUCGAUUUUGGUACUGAGUAAAGAGACAGGUACAGGCGAGUCGUUACUAUGUUACGUAUUAUAAGUUAGUUUAUACCAGUUGAUUCAGGUGAGUGGUUAUUUAAUUACUUAUUAAUUAAGAUUAGUUUAUUUGCGUCAAAUUUGAGAUAUGAGACUAGUGACGAGCGAAAUUGUCGAGCAUUGACGCUGUUUCACGAUGAAAUUUGUCGAGAAAUUGAAAUUAGGACCCCCCCUCGCCCCUUUACAUUUUAUGUACGUAUAUCAUGUUUAUAUUGUAUCAUUUCUGUUUGUAUUUUUUUUUUUUUUUUUUUUUUGAAAAUUGUAUCAUAUCACUUGUUAUUAUUAAAUUCGUGUAUUUUUGUAAUGACCAAUCAUGGUUUUUCACUGUCGAGAGGCCGGCAGUGUUUUUUAUUCCAGAUUGGUCAACGUGUUGUAGAAUUAAGUUUGUAUAUUGAUUUAUUUGCCGCUAAAUUUGAAACGAUUUUUCGUUGUGUGUUAUUUCAUUUCAUUCAUUCUGUGUUUGAAAACUUGACAAAUUCAUAGAUCAAACAAAAUGGCGAUUUUUCAUUUUGGCGUUAUGUCGUUGUUUUUGAGGUUUUGACAAAAUGAUACCAAAUUCGUGCUUAGGAGUUUGAAAUACAUAUAUUUUGAUGUGCAAGAUGAUAUACAGGCCUAUUUUUGAGUUUUGAACCUCCUCUUUAGAAGCCCAUUUUUGGGGGGUUUCGCUAAAAUAGUAUCAAAUUCGUGCUCAGGAGCCCCGAAAACAUAUAUUUUGAUGUGCAACAUGACAUUUGGGCUCAUUUUUGAAUUUUUGCAUCUCCUCUUCAGAAGUCCCUUCUGGGGUUCCCCCUAAAAUUAUUUCAAAUUCGUGCUCAGGAGCCCCAAAACUAUAUAUUUUGAUAUGUCACGUGAUACUCCGGCCGAUUUUGGAAUUUUGAACAUCUUCAACGAAUGUUCAUUUUUGGGUUUUAGCCAGAAUAAUAUCAAAUUUGUACUCAGGAGCCUCUGAAACAUGUAUUUUGAUAUGCAACAUGAUGAUUUAGGCCCAUUUUUGAGUUUUGAACCUCCCCUUCAGAAGCCCAUUUUUGGGGCUUUCGCCAAAAUAAUUCCAAAUUCGUGCUCAGGAGCCCCAAAAACAUAUAUUUUGAUGUGCAACAUGACAUUUGGGCUCAUUUUUGAAUUUGUGCACCUCCCCUUCAGAAGCCCCUUCUAGGGUUCCUCCUAAAAUUAUUUCAAAUUCGUGCUCAGGUGCCCCAAAAACAUAUAUUAUGAUAUGUCACGUGAUAUUCUGGCCAAUUUUGGAAUUUUGAACCUCCUCCUCAAAGGCCCAUUUUUGGGUUUUGGCCAAAAUAAUAUCAAAUUUGUACUCACUAGUCAGGAGCCUCUGAAACAUGUAUUUUGAUAUAUGAUGAUUUAGGCCCAUUUUUGAGUUUUGAACCUUCCCCUUCAGAAGCCUAUUUUUGGGGUUUUUGUCAACAUAAUAUCAAAUUCGUGCUCAGGAGCCCCGAAAACAUAUAUUUUGAUAUGUCAUGUGAUAUUCUGGCCAAUUUUGGAAUUUUGAACCUCUUCCUCAAAAGCCCAUUUCGGAGUUUGGGCCAAAAUAAUAUCAAAUUUGUACUCAAGAGCCUCUAAAACAUGUAUUUUGAUAUGCAACAUGAUGAUUUAGGCCCAUUUUUGAGUUUUGAACCUCCCCCUCAAAAGCACCUUUUGGGGUUUUCGACAAAGUAAUACAAAAUUCCUGCUUAGGAGCCCCAAAAACAUACAUUUUAAUGUGCAACAUGACAUUUGGGCUCAUUUUUGAAUUUUUGCACCUCCCCUUCAGAAGCCUCUUCUAGGGUUCCUCCUAAAAUUAUUUCAAUUUCGUGCUCAGGAGUCCCAAAAACAUAUUUUUGAUAUGUCACGUGAUAUUCUAGCCAAUUUUGGAAUUUGAACCUCCUCCUCAAAAGCCCAUUUUGGGAUUUUCCUCUAAAACUAAAAUAUUAUCGAAUUCGUACUCGGAAGCUUCAAAAACAUAUAUUUUGAUAUGUCGCAUGACUCAAGCUCAAUUUUGAGUCUUACCCCCCCCCCCACCGUUGAGGUUCAUUUUGAGUUAUACAUGAAAAUGACUUUAAAUUUGAAUUCAGCAUCUUCAAAACCCCUAUCUACGGAAUUUGAGCUUCAUCGCUUGCAUUUUACUCGUCCAGUUAAGCUAAUCAGCUUGUAAAAUAAUUAAUAAGAAAGGUUAGAGUAAAAAUAAGUUCUGCGCCUUGUUUUGUGAAAGUAUGCAACCCAUACGACAAAUUGAAAUGACCGCAAAUGCCAAAACUUGCUACUUACGAGAUUUACGUAUAUUCAAGAAAUCGAAAACGCCUUCGAAAUACUCGACAGGCAACUUAAAUAUCUGAUCGAAUUCGAAACACGGCAAUUCUUCGUUUUUAAUAAAAUGCCCCUGCAAAAAUAUUCCAUAGGCAACUCAAAUAACACGGCCAAUCGGAUGGUGUGGGCAUAGGUGCUGUAUGGAGACAUUGAUUUUGCUAUCGAACGAACACACAGCAUCAUCUAUCGGAAUAAAACGGAACUUUCGUUCUGUUUUUAAAAAUCAAGGGUAUAAAAAUGAAGAAACGAAAGCUAGAUAUGCGCGUGGCGCUAUCUAUCGGAAUAUUACGGAACUACGUCAAAUUCGAGCAAUGUUGAUGCGUUCUCCAAGCAUAGUUCUGUAAUAUUCCGAGAGAUAGCGCCACGCGCAUAUCUAGCUUUCGUUUCGUCAUUUUUAUAACCGCGAUUUUUGAAAACAGAACGAAGGUUCUGUUUUAUUCCGAUAGGUGGCGUUGUGUGUCCGUUGAAUUUCAAUUUAUUUCGAAAUCGUCAUAAUUAGUGGAUUAUGAACGAAAUUAAGGGAACAAAAGGUUGAUGUGGGGGUUUCUUGAUAAGAGGAAUUCAGUGAUGCGUUUAUUUUUGAAAUAUAAUUAAUAUUUUCUGGAGAAAUUGACGUUUCAAAUUUCAUUCACCGUUUUUUUUCUCGAAAUUUUUAUAUUUUUAUUAUUACGAAAAUUAAUUAUCUUUGCUAAAACAAUAAGAGUAAUUUUAUGGUAUGCUUCUUUUAUAAAAUAGCAGAU